rnacentral:tRNA from 1 species
GGGGUUGUAGCUCAGUUGAUAGAGCGCUGCGUUCGCAAUGCAGAGGUCGUGGGUUUGAGCCCCAUCAACUCCACCA